CCUACGGGUGGCAGCAGUGAGGAAUAUUGGUCAAUGGGCGCGAGCCUGAACCAGCCAAGUCGCGUGAGGGAAGACGGUCCUAUGGAUUGUAAACCUCUUUUGUCGGGGAGCAAAAGACGCCACGCGUGGCGUUCCGAGCGUACCCGACGAACAAGCAUCGGCUAACUCCGUGCCAGCAGCCGCGGUAAUACGGAGGAUGCGAGCGUUAUCCGGAUUUAUUGGGUUUAAAGGGUGCGCAGGCGGAAGAUCAAGUCAGCGGUAAAAUUGAGAGGCUCAACCUCUUCGAGCCGUUGAAACUGGUUGUCUUGAGUGAGCGAGAAGUAUGCGGAAUGCGUGGUGUAGCGGUGAAAUGCAUAGAUAUCACGCAGAACUCCGAUUGCGAAGGCAGCAUACCGGAGCUCAACUGACGCUCAUGCACGAAAGUGUGGGUAUCGAACAGGAUUAGAUACCCUAGUAGUC
rnacentral:rRNA from 1 species